UGCUGGAGGUAUCAGAAGUGCGAAUGCUGACAUAAGUAACGAUAAAGCGGGUGAAAAGCCCGCUCGCCGGAAGACCAAGGGUUCCUGUCCAACGUUAAUCGGGGCAGGGUGAGUCGACCCCUAAGGCGAGGCCGAAAGGCGUAGUCGAUGGGAAACAGGUUAAUAUUCCUGUACUUGGUGUUACUGCGAAGGGGGGACGGAGAAGGCUAUGUUGGCCGGGCGACGGUUGUCCCGGUUUAAGCGUGUAGGCUGGUUUUCCAGGCAAAUCCGGAAAAUCAAGGCUGAGGCGUGAUGACGAGGCACUACGGUGCUGAAGCGACAAAUGCCCUGCUUCCAGGAAAAGCCUCUAAGCAUCAGGUAACAUCAAAUCGUACCCCAAACCGACACAGGUGGUCAGGUAGAGAAUACCAAGGCGCUUGAGAGAACUCGGGUGAAGGAACUAGGCAAAAUGGUGCCGUAACUUCGGGAGAAGGCACGCUGAUAUGUAGGUGAAGCGACUUGCUCGUGGAGCUGAAAUCAGUCGAAGAUACCAGCUGGCUGCAACUGUUUAUUAAAAACACAGCACUGUGCAAACACGAAAGUGGACGUAUACGGUGUGACGCCUGCCCGGUGCCGGAAGGUUAAUUGAUGGGGUUAGCGGUAACGCGAAGCUCUUGAUCGAAGCCCCGGUAAACGGCGGCCGUAACUAUAACGGUCCUAAGGUAGCGAAAUUCCUUGUCGGGUAAGUUCCGACCUGCACGAAUGGCGUAAUGAUGGCCAGGCUGUCUCCACCCGAGACUCAGUGAAAUUGAACUCGCUGUGAAGAUGCAGUGUACCCGCGGCAAGACGGAAAGACCCCGUGAACCUUUACUAUAGCUUGACACUGAACAUUGAGCCUUGAUGUGUAGGAUAGGUGGGAGGCUUUGAAGUGUGGACGCCAGUCUGCAUGGAGCCGACCUUGAAAUACCACCCUUUAAUGUUUGAUGUUCUAACGUGGGCCCCUUACCGGGGUUGCGGACAGUGUCUGGUGGGUAGUUUGACUGGGGCGGUCUCCUCCUAAAGAGUAACGGAGGAGCACGAAGGUUGGCUAAUCCUGGUCGGACAUCAGGAGGUUAGUGCAAUGGCAUAAGCCAGCUUGACUGCGAGCGUGACGGCGCGAGCAGGUGCGAAAGCAGGUCAUAGUGAUCCGGUGGUUCUGAAUGGAAGGGCCAUCGCUCAACGGAUAAAAGGUACUCCGGGGAUAACAGGCUGAUACCGCCCAAGAGUUCAUAUCGACGGCGGUGUUUGGCACCUCGAUGUCGGCUCAUCACAUCCUGGGGCUGAAGUAGGUCCCAAGGGUAUGGCUGUUCGCCAUUUAAAGUGGUACGCGAGCUGGGUUUAGAACGUCGUGAGACAGUUCGGUCCCUAUCUGCCGUGGGCGCUGGAGAACUGAGGGGGGCUGCUCCUAGUACGAGAGGACCGGAGUGGACGCAUCACUGGUGUUCGGGUUGUCAUGCCAAUGGCACUGCCCGGUAGCUAAAUGCGGAAGAGAUAAGUGCUGAAAGCAUCUAAGCACGAAACUUGCCCCGAGAUGAGUUCUCCCUGACUCCUUGA
rnacentral:rRNA from 1 species